GUCUACGGCCACGCCACCCUGAACGGGCCCGAUCUCGCCUGAUCUCGCAGGGUCGGGCCUGGUUAGUCCUUGGAUGGGAGACCACCCAGGAAGACCAGGUGCUGUAGGCG
rnacentral:rRNA from 1 species